UCGUGUUGUUAUCUUGUUACU
rnacentral:piRNA from 1 species